UACGAAGGGGGCUAGCGUUGUUCGGAAUUACUGGGCGUAAAGCGAACGUAGGCGGUGUUCCAAGUCAGAGGUGAAAGCCCAGAGCUCAACUCUGGAACGGCCUUUGAGACUAGAGGACUUGGGUACGGGAGAGGUGAGUGGAAUUCCGAGUGUAGAGGUGAAAUUCGUAGAUAUUCGGAAGAACACCAGUGGCGAAGGCGGCUCACUGGCCCGUUACCGACGCUCAGGCGCGACAGCGUGGGGAGCAAACAGG
rnacentral:rRNA from 1 species